GAUGAAGAACGUAGCGAAAUGCGAUACUUGGUGUGAAUUGCAGAAUCCCGCGAAUCAUCGAGUUUUUGAACGCAAGUUGCGCCCGAAGCCAUUCGGCCGAGGGCACGUCUGCCUGGGUGUCACGCAUCGUUGCCCCCCCAAACUCCGGUUCGGGCGGGGCGGAAGUUGGCCUCCCGUGCGUGCCUGCGCGCGCGGUUAGCCCAAAAGCGAGUCCUCGGCGACGAGCGCCACGACAAUCGGUGGUUGCGAAACCUCGGUUGCCCGUCGUGUGCGGUCGUCGCGCAUCGAGGGCUCGAAAAAAUUGCCGGGCUCCGGCUCGGCUUUCAACGCGACCCCAGGUCAGGCGGGGUUACCCGCUGAAUUUAAGCAUAUCAAUAAGCGGAGGA
rnacentral:misc_RNA from 1 species